rnacentral:tRNA from 1 species
GAUGCAUUAGUUUAAUGGCAAAAUGCCCGGGCCCUCACAGGACCGGGAGUUGGAGGGUUCGACUCCCCCUGGCAUCA